AAGCUGAGGAGAGGAAGAGCGCGCGCCUGUGAAUCCCCUUGGCGGAAUCGCGCAAUCGUUUCACGCAAAUAACAUCGAGCGCGAGCCCCCGGCAGCGCCAGUCCGCGCGGCGAGCAGCGGCUCGAGCCCCGGCAGACGGCAGCCCUCCUGGUUUCAUCAGGUCUUCAUGCAUGGUUUACAUUUAUGGAUGGAAACGAAGACUCUGAGAUGCCAAAAUGAUAAUUUUACAAUGCAAAAUAAAAUGGUACAAAUGCUGCGUCUGUAAGAUGUGCAUUGAAAGCCUGCUGAAAUGAGCAAAAUACAUGGAAGCUGAAAACAGUGCCAAGCUGAAAAGUUAAAUUAUCAAAUAUGCGUAUCAGCAUGAGAAGGGUUGUUCUGCUCCUUUGCUGUGCUGUUGCUACAAUAAUGGUAUUUCAUAUGGGCCAGCACAUGUGGGAGUGUCAACAAAUACUAAAUGAGAACGGAGGAUGGUUUCAUGGCCGACGAACACACAGCAUGAUGAAACCUGAAAAGGAAGAAUUUGUCAUGUAUAAUUCAAACCACAUUGAAUAUCGCUACAGUAAAAAUAUGCCCCUAAUCUUCAUAGGCGGAGUCCCACGAAGUGGGACAACAUUAAUGCGAGCCAUGAUGGAUGCACAUCCUGACAUCCGCUGUGGUGAAGAAACACGGAUCAUCCCACGUGUGCUGGCCAUGCGUCAGGUGUGGUCUAAAUCAGAACGUGAAAGGAUGCGCUUGAAUGAAGCAGGAGUGACGGACCUGGUCCUGGACUCAGCAUUGCAAGCAUUUAUCUUAGAAGUAAUUGCAAAACAUGGUGAACCUGCAAAAUAUUUGUGCAAUAAAGACCCUUUCACCUUAAAGUCUCUAAAUUAUCUAUCAAGACUGUUCUCAAACUCUAAAUUUAUAUUAAUGAUCCGAGAUGGACGAGCCUCUGUGCACUCAAUGAUUACAAGAAAAGUGACGAUUGCUGGAUUUGAUCUUAGUAGCUACAGAGAUUGUAUAAUCAAGUGGAACAAGGCUAUUGAAAUUAUGUAUAGCCAGUGUAUGGAGGUGGGAUCCUCCAGGUGUCUCUCAGUUUAUUAUGAACAGCUGGUAUUGCAUCCUAAAAAGACAAUGGAGAAGAUCAUGACAUUUUUGGAUAUUCCAUGGAGUGAUGCUGUACUGCAUCAUGAAGAAUUAAUAGGAAAAGCAGGAGGUGUCUCACUUUCAAAAAUAGAGAGAUCCACUGACCAAGUUAUCAAGCCAGUUAAUCUUGAGGCUUUGACCAAGUGGGUGGGACACAUUCCUGAUGGUGUGGUUGAGGAAAUGGCAAGGAUAGCACCAAUGUUGGCCAAAUUAGGCUAUGAUCCCAAUGCCAAUCCACCAAAUUAUGGAAAUCCUGAUGCAUUAGUAAUUAAUAACACCAAAAAGUCCAUGGGCUUCUUACUGUCGUGAUGGAACUACACUCAAGUUGAAGGAGCAACACCUUGUAUUUCUCGGUAGCCUCUAAUCUGAUGCUGUUGCAGGGUGACUUUAAAACACCUGCCAAUUUGAAAGGACCUUCUCUGGUAAAGAAUGCUUCCAUGACUGGAUCUCAGUAACAGUGCUGUAAAGACAG